AGAGUUUGAUCAUGGCUCAGAUUGAACGCUGGCGGCAGGCCUAACACAUGCAAGUCGAGCGGUAGCACAGAGAGCUUGCUCUCGGGUGACGAGCGGCGGACGGGUGAGUAAUGUCUGGGAAACUGCCUGAUGGAGGGGGAUAACUACUGGAAACGGUAGCUAAUACCGCAUAACGUCGCAAGACCAAAGUGGGGGACCUUCGGGCCUCAUGCCAUCAGAUGUGCCCAGAUGGGAUUAGCUAGUAGGUGGGGUAACGGCUCACCUAGGCGACGAUCCCUAGCUGGUCUGAGAGGAUGACCAGCCACACUGGAACUGAGACACGGUCCAGACUCCUACGGGAGGCAGCAGUGGGGAAUAUUGCACAAUGGGCGCAAGCCUGAUGCAGCCAUGCCGCGUGUGUGAAGAAGGCCUUCGGGUUGUAAAGCACUUUCAGCGGGGAGGAAGGCGAUAAGGUUAAUAACCUUGGCGAUUGACGUUACCCGCAGAAGAAGCACCGGCUAACUCCGUGCCAGCAGCCGCGGUAAUACGGAGGGUGCAAGCGUUAAUCGGAAUUACUGGGCGUAAAGCGCACGCAGGCGGUCUGUCAAGUCGGAUGUGAAAUCCCCGGGCUCAACCUGGGAACUGCAUUCGAAACUGGCAGGCUAGAGUCUUGUAGAGGGGGGUAGAAUUCCAGGUGUAGCGGUGAAAUGCGUAGAGAUCUGGAGGAAUACCGGUGGCGAAGGCGGCCCCCUGGACAAAGACUGACGCUCAGGUGCGAAAGCGUGGGGAGCAAACAGGAUUAGAUACCCUGGUAGUCCACGCCGUAAACGAUGUCGAUUUGGAGGUUGUGCCCUUGAGGCGUGGCUUCCGGAGCUAACGCGUUAAAUCGACCGCCUGGGGAGUACGGCCGCAAGGUUAAAACUCAAAUGAAUUGACGGGGGCCCGCACAAGCGGUGGAGCAUGUGGUUUAAUUCGAUGCAACGCGAAGAACCUUACCUGGUCUUGACAUCCACAGAACUUUCCAGAGAUGGAUUGGUGCCUUCGGGAACUGUGAGACAGGUGCUGCAUGGCUGUCGUCAGCUCGUGUUGUGAAAUGUUGGGUUAAGUCCCGCAACGAGCGCAACCCUUAUCCUUUGUUGCCAGCGGUCCGGCCGGGAACUCAAAGGAGACUGCCAGUGAUAAACUGGAGGAAGGUGGGGAUGACGUCAAGUCAUCAUGGCCCUUACGACCAGGGCUACACACGUGCUACAAUGGCAUAUACAAAGAGAAGCGACCUCGCGAGAGCAAGCGGACCUCAUAAAGUAUGUCGUAGUCCGGAUUGGAGUCUGCAACUCGACUCCAUGAAGUCGGAAUCGCUAGUAAUCGUAGAUCAGAAUGCUACGGUGAAUACGUUCCCGGGCCUUGUACACACCGCCCGUCACACCAUGGGAGUGGGUUGCAAAAGAAGUAGGUAGCUUAACCUUCGGGAGGGCGCUUACCACUUUGUGAUUCAUGACUGGGGUGAAGUCGUAACAAGGUAACCGUAGGGGAACCUGCGGUUGGAUCACCU
rnacentral:rRNA from 1 species